rnacentral:rRNA from 2 species
UUCCACGCGUACCCAUCCCGAACACGACCGUUAAGCCUUCCAGCGCCGAUGGUACUUGGACCGAAGGGUCCUGGGAGAGUAGGACGCCGCCAAGC